ensembl:lncRNA
AGGGAGGACCAGGGAUGUUCUCUGUUUAGUGAGUCCUCCAGAUCAGAGGCAGUAGGGAUGACCAGGGAUGUUCUCUGUUUAGUGUGUCCUCCAGAUCAGAGGCAGUAGGGAUGACCAGGGAUGUUCUCUGUUUAGUGAGUCCUCCAGAUCAGAGGCAGUAGGGAUGACCAGGGAUGUUCUCUGUUUAGUGAGUCCUCCAGAUCAGAGGCAGUAGGGAGGACCAGGGAUGUUCUCUGUUUAGUGAGUCCGCCAGAUCAGAGGCAGUAGGGAUGACCAGGGAUGUUCUCUGUUUAGUGUGUCCUCCAGAUCAGAGGCAGUAGUGAUGACCAGGGAUGUUCUCUGUUUAGUGAGUCCGCCAGAUCAGAGGCAGUAGUGAUGACCAGGGAUGUUCUCUGUUUAGUGUGUCCUCCAGAUCAGAGGCAGUAGUGAUGACCAGGGAUGUUCUCUGUUUAGUGAGUCCUCCAGAUCAGAGGCAGUAGAGGACCAGGGAUGUUCUCUGUUUAGUGAGUCUGCCAGAUCAGAGGCAGUAGGGAUGACCAGGGAUGUUCUCUGUUUAGUGAGUCCUCCAGAUCAGAGGCAGUAGGGAUGACCAGGGAUGUUCUCUGUUUAGUGAGUCCUCCAGAUCAGAGGCAGUAGAGGACCAGGGAUGUUCUCUGUUUAGUGAGUCCUCCAGAUCAGAGGCAGUAGGGAUGACCAGGGAUGUUCUCUGUUUAGUGAGUCCUCCAGAUCAGAGGCAGUAGAGGACCAGGGAUGUUCUCUGUUUAGUGAGUCCUCCAGAUCAGAGGUAGUAGGGAGGACCAGGGAUGUUCUCUGUUUAGUGAGUCCUCCAGAUCAGAGGUAGUAGGGAGGACCAGGGAUGUUCUCUGUUUAGUGAGUCCUCCAGAUCAGAGGCAGUAGGGAUGACCAGGGAUGUUCUCUGUUUAGUGAGUCCUCCAGAUCAGAGGCAGUAGAGGACCAGGGAUGUUCUCUUGAUAAGUGUGUGAAUUUGGACCAUUUUCCUGUCCUGCUAAGCAUUCAAAAUGGGUGUCAGAAAAUAUACAUUAUUUUCUUUAGGAAUGUAGUGAAGUAAAAGUUGUAUAAGUAGUAAAGUAUAGAUACCCCAAGGUACUACUUAAGUAGUACUUUCAAGUUUUUUAAAACUUAAGUACCUCACAUAACUGGGCAUACAGACGCACAGGGACUGUACUGACGAGGGCAAACACAGAAGAUGACACAGGAACAAACACAGACAAAACACUAAAAAACAGACUAAUAAUAAUCAAACAACAACAAAAUUACAAUUAAAAUACACUAACAAACAAAAACAAAGCUGGGAUACUGUUACCGAAACAGUACAGAUUUAUUUAAGAUACUACCUUUCUAACAAAAACAGCCAUGAUUGAGUGUGAGUAAGUGUAUUGUUCUGUAAGUGUGUAAAAGUGUGUCUGUCUGUCUGUCUGUCUGUCUGUCUGUCUGUCUGUCUGUCUGUCUGUCUGUCUGUCUGUCUGUCUGUCCGUGAGCGAGUGUGUGUGUGUGUGUGUGUGUGUGUAUAUGUAUUUGUGUUUAUGUGUGUGUCUACUGCUUCAUGUGUGUGUCUACUGGGUCAGUGACUCCCAGACAUUACUUCCUGUGAUUGGGCCCAACGCCAGGUAUCUAUUACAUACUGACACACAUGCAAGACACACACACAGACACGCAGACACACAGACACACACACAGACAUGCACACACGCAGACACACACGCACACACACAGACUCACACACACAGACACACACACAGACAUGCACACACGCAGACACACACUCACAGACGCAUUCACGCAGACACACACACACACAGACUCACACACACACUCACUCACACACGCAGACACACACACACACAGACACACACUCACAGACGCAUUCACGCAGACACACACACACACACACACACACAGACUCACACACACAGACACACACACUCACUCACACAUGCAGACACACAGGCAGAUACACAGACAGACACACACACACGCAGACACAUAUAUACACAGUGUACCUAAUAAACUGUCCGGUGAGAGUCUAGACCAACACACAGUCCGGAUGUGCUAAAGUCUAAUUCCACAUUCUGAUGCAGUUAGCUUGAUAAUCCUUUCCACAGGUGUGUGUGUGUGUGUGUGUGUGUGUGUGUGUGUGUGUGUGUGUGUGUGUGUGUGUGUGUGUGUAAUCUCUUUAUAUGGGCACCCUGUCUGUCCUAUGGAGGAUGAAUUAGAAUGCCAACCUGAACACAUUGAGAUUGUGUUGAUUAAUUGUCUACAGGUGUGUUUGUACGUGGCGUUGCUGUGGAGCAACUUCCCCCCCCCCACACACACACACGCAAACACAGACUCACGCAAACACAGACUCACGCAAAAACACACACACACGCAAACACACACUCAUGCAAAAACAAACUUACACACACACACAGACACACGCAAACACACACUCACACAAAACACACACACACACACUCACACACACACAGACACACGCAAACACACACUCACACAAAAACACACACACACUCACACACACACAGACACACGCAAACACACACUCUCUCACACACAGACACACACACACACACAGCUACUGACAGACAGGCUCGCAAACACACACACACACUCCCGAACCAACAACAGGCAGAGUGAUAAGGAGACAAUAGCUCUCUGAGAUCGUUGCUAGGCAACAAAAGGGACUAAAAAUAUUAUCUACGCACGUUCGCUCCAUUUCUACACACACACAGACACACACACAGACACACAGACACACACACAGACACACACACACGCACACACACAGACACAAACACUCGGACACAAACACACAGACACAAACACAUACACAAACACAGACACACAGCCACACACAGACAUACACAAACACACACAGACACAAACACACACACACACAGACACACAAACACAUACAGACACAAACACACACAGACACAAAGACACAGACAGACACACACACACACACAUAGACACAAACACACACAGACACACACAGACACACACAGACACAAACAGACACACAGACAGACCCACACGCUGCUCAGAAACACUUAAGAUUAUUUUUAUAGUGAAAUGUAGAGAUACAUCUGACUCAACUCGUCUCUCUCUCUCUCUCUCUCUCUCUUCUGUCUCUCUGUAUCUCUGUCUCUCUCUCUCUGUGUCUCUGUCUUUCAGAUUCCAAAUUUAGAACUGAACAAAGUUAUUAUCAUUGAGAAUAAAUUUCAUUUUUCAAUUCCUGACAUGGAACUGGAAUUGAUUCCCCCAAUCCUGGUUCUCUGCAGAUGUGCUGGUCUGCUCUGGUCUGAGCAGGUCUGGGCUGGGCUGCUCUGGUCUGAGCAGGUCUGGUCUGAGCAGGUCUGGGCUGGGCUGCUCUGGUCUGAGCAGGUCUGGUCUGAGCAGGUCUGGGCUGGGCUGCUCUGGUCUGAGCAGGUCUCUGGUCUGGUCUGCUCUGGUCUGAGCUGCUCUGGUCUGAGCAGGUCUGGUCUGGGCUGAGCUGGUCUGGGCUCAGUUGGGCUGGGCUGAGCUGGUCUGAGUUGGUCUAGUCUAGUCUGGUCUGGUCUGGUACAGAAUAUCUAAGUAGCAUCUCUUUUUAAACAUCCAGACUGUUAAAACAAUGUCAGUUGACUUGAUAUGAGGGUCCAGGCCAAAAUAUAACACAGCUACAAAACAAUACAACACAGCUACAAAACCAUACAACACCAACACAAUACACUCAUGGUUCCACCUUAAGGGUUCUAUUCAAUCAAAUUCACACAGCGGUUGUUUUAACUCUGUCAGAGGUGGAACUGUGUUAGAGCUGUCAAAUCCACAAGCGGCUCCCAUGAUUAUACCUGAAGCGUACAUUGCCAUUGGCUGCACAGAGGCGCAUUAAGACAUAUCCCAUGCAGGCUUUUAUUCAAGUUCGAACACUGGAAUGUGAGAUGUAAUCUACACCUCGAUUAGGCUGAGCGUCGUUAGGCUGAGCGUCAUUAGGCUGAGCGUCGUUAGGCUGAGCGUCGCUAGGCUGAGCGUCGCUAGGCUGAGCGUCGUUAGGCUGAGCGUCGUUAGGCUGAGCGUCGCUAGCCUGAGCGUCGUUAGGCUGAGCGUCGUUAGGCUGAGCGUCAUUCCUACAUUUUCUUGUUCUGAACUUCUAACUCGAGUGGGACGGGUGUGGCUUUGUGACAAUGAACAAGAGCAGCUACUCACCGAUUCGACAUCUCCAACGCAGUUACACC